GGUAGAGUGAGCUCUAAUCCAAUAUUACUAGCUUCUUUAUAAGAAGAGGAAACUAGUAAUGUUGGAUUAGGGCUCACUCUACU